rnacentral:rRNA from 1 species
AGUGAACGCUGGCGGUAGGCCUAACACAUGCAAGUCGAACGGCAGCACAGUAAGAGCUUGCUCUUACGGGUGGCGAGUGGCGGACGGGUGAGGAAUACAUCGGAAUCUACUUUUUCGUGGGGGAUAACGUAGGGAAACUUACGCUAAUACCGCAUACGACCUACGGGUGAAAGCAGGGGAUCUUCGGACCUUGCGCGAUUGAAUGAGCCGAUGUCGGCUUAGCUAGUUGGCGGGGUAAAGGCCCACCAAGGCGACGAUCCGUAGCUGGCCUGAGAGGAAGACCAGCCACACUGGAACUGAGACACGGUCCAGACUCCGACGGGAGGCAGCAGUGGGGAAUAUUGGACGAUGGGGGAAAGCCUGAUCCAGCCAUACCGCGUGGGUGAAGAAGGCCUUCGGGUUGUAAAGCCCUUUUGUUGGGAAAGAAAAGCAACGGUUUAAUACCCCGCUGUUCUGACGGUACCCAAAGAAUAAGCACCGGCUAACUUCGUG